rnacentral:rRNA from 1 species
UGGAUCCAGACUUUGAUCAUGGCUCAGGACGAACGCUGGCGGCGUGCUUAACACAUGCAAGUCGAACGAAGCUUGACGAAUGAUUUCUUCGGAAUGAAUUCCGAUAUGACUGAGUGGCGGACGGGUGAGUAACGCGUGAGGAACCUGCCCUUCAGAGGGGGAUAGUGUUUGGAAACGAACAGUAAUACCGCAUAAUGUAUUUUUACCGCAUGAUAGAAAUACCAAAGAUUUAUCGCUGAAGGAUGGCCUCGCGUCUGAUUAGAUAGUUGGUGGGGUAACGGCCUACCAAGUCGACGAUCAGUAGCCGGACUGAGAGGUUGAACGGCCACAUUGGGACUGAGACACGGCCCAGACUCCUACGGGAGGCAGCAGUGGGGAAUAUUGCGCAAUGGGGGAAACCCUGAUGCAGCAACGCCGCGUGAAGGAGGACGGUUUUCGGAUUGUAAACUUCUGUUCUUAGUGAAGAAAAAUGACGGUAGCUAAGGAGCAAGCCACGGCUAACUACGUGCCAGCAGCCGCGGUAAUACGUAGGUGGCAAGCGUUGUCCGGAAUUACUGGGUGUAAAGGGGGCGCAGGCGGGAGAGCAAGUCAGUUGUGAAAUCCAUGGGCUUAACCCAUGAACUGCAGUUGAAACUGUUCUUCUUGAGUGAAGUAGAGGUUGGCGGAAUUCCGAGUGUAGCGGUGAAAUGCGUAGAUAUUCGGAGGAACACCGGUGGCGAAGGCGGCCAACUGGGCUUUUACUGACGCUGAGGCCCGAAAGUGUGGGGAGCAAACAGGAUUAGAUACCCUGGUAGUCCACACUGUAAACGAUGAUAACUAGGUGUGGGGGGACUGACCCCUUCUGUGCCGCAGCUAACGCAAUAAGUUAUCCACCUGGGGAGUACGACCGCAAGGUUGCAACUCAAAGGAAUUGACGGA